GUCUGAGAGGCUGGGAGGAUAGUCUAGUGGGACUAGGAGAUUCAGUCUGAGAGGCUGGAAGGAUAGUCUAGUGGGACUAGGAGAUUCAGUCUGGGAGGACUGGAAGGGCAGUCUAGUGGGACUAGGAGGUUCAGUCUGGGAGGCUGGAAGGAUAGUCUAGUGGGACUAGAAGAUUCAGUCUGAGAGGCUGAAAGGAUAGUCUAGUGGGACUAGGAGAUUCAGUCUGAGAGGCUGGAAGGAUAGUCUAGUGGGACUAGGAGAUUCAGUCUGGGAGGACUGGAAGGGCAGACUAGCGGGACUAGGAGGUUCAGUCUGGGAGGCUGGAAGGAUAGUCUAGUGGGACUAGAAGAUUCAGUCUGAGAGGCUGAAAGGAUAGUCUAGUGGGACUAGGAGAUUCAGUCUGAGAGGCUGGAAGGAUAGUCUAGUGGGACUAGAAGAUUCAGUCUGAGAGGCUGAAAGGAUAGUCUAGUGGGACUAGGAGAUUCAGUCUGAGAGGCUGGAAGGAUAGUCUGGUGGGACUAGGAGAUUCGGUCUGAGAGGCUGAAAGGAUAGUCUAGUGGGACUAGGAGAUUCAGUCUGAGAGGCUGGGAGGAUAGUCUAGUGGGACUAGGAGAUUCAGUCUGAGAGGCUGGAAGGAUAGUCUAGUGGGACUAGGAGAUUCAGUCUGAGAGGCUGGGAGGAUAGUCUAGUGGGACUAGGAGAUUCAGUCUGAGAGGCUGGAAGGAUAGUCUAGUGGGACUAGGGGAUUCAGUCUGAGAGGCUGGGAGGAUAGACUAGUGGGACUA
rnacentral:lncRNA from 1 species